rnacentral:rRNA from 1 species
AAACCGGUUGAUCCUGCCGGACCCGACCGCUAUCGGGGUAGGGCUAAGCCAUGCGAGUCGCGCGCCCGGGGGCGCCCGGGAGCGGCGCACGGCUCAGUAACACGUGCCUAACCUACCCUCGGGAGGGGGAUACCCCCGGGAAACUGGGGUCAAUCCCCCAUAGGGGAGGGGUGCUGGAAGGCCCCCUCCCCCAAAGGGAUGGCGGCCGAUCCGCCGCCAUCCGCCCGAGGAUGGGGGCACGGCCCAUCAGGUAGUUGGCGGGUUAAAGGCCCGCCAAGCCGAAGACGGGUAGGGGCGGUGAGAGCCGUGAGCCCCGAGAUCGGCACUGAGACAAGGGCCGAGGCCCUACGGGGCGCAGCAGGCGCGAAUACUCCGCAAUGCGGGCAACCGCGACGGGGCUACCCCGAGUGCCGGGCGAAGAGCCCGGCUUUUGCCCGGUCUAAAACGCCGGGCGAAUAAGCGGGGGGCAAGUCUGGUGUCAGCCGCCGCGGUAAUACCAGCUCCGCGAGUGGUCGGGGUGUUUAUUGGGCUUAAAGCGCCCGUAGCCGGCCCGGCAAGUCGCUCCUGAAAUCCCCGGGCUCAACCCGGGGGCGGGGGGCGAUACUGCCGGGCUAGGGGGCGGGAGAGGCCGCCGGUACUCCGGGGGUAGGGGCGAAAUCCGUUAAUCCCCGGAGGACCACCAGUGGCGAAAGCGGGCGGCCAGAACGCGCCCGACGGUGAGGGGCGAAAGCCGGGGGAGCAAAGGGGAUUAGAUACCCCUGUAGUCCCGGCCGUAAACGAUGCGGGCUAGCUGUCGGCCGGGCUUAGGGCCCGGCCGGUGGCGAAGGGAAACCGUUAAGCCCGCCGCCUGGGGAGUACGGCCGCAAGGCUGAAACUUAAAGGAAUUGGCGGGGGGGCACCACAAGGGGUGAAGCUUGCGGCUUAAUUGGAGUCAACGCCGGAAACCUCACCCGGGGCGACAGCAGGAUGAAGGCCAGGCUAACGACCUUGCCGGACGAGCUGAGAGGAGGUGCAUGGCCGUCGUCAGCUCGUGCCGUGAGGUGUCCGGUUAAGUCCGGCAACGAGCGAGACCCCCACCCCUAGUUGCUACCCCGUCCUACGGGGCGGGGGGCACACUAGGGGGACUGCCGGCGUAAGCCGGAGGAAGGAGGGGGCCACGGCAGGUCAGUAUGCCCCGAAACCCCGGGGCUGCACGCGAGCUGCAAUGGCGGGGACAGCGGGAUCCGACCCCGAAAGGGGGAGGCAAUCCCGUAAACCCCGCCCCAGUAGGGAUCGAGGGCUGCAACUCGCCCUCGUGAACGUGGAAUCCCUAGUAACCGCGUGUCACCAACGCGCGGUGAAUACGUCCCUGCCCCUUGCACACACCGCCCGUCGCACCACCCGAGGGAGCCCCCUGCGAGGCCCCUCGCCGACGAGGUGGGGGGACGAGCAGGGGGCUCCCAAGGGGGGUGAAGUCGUAACAAGGUAGCCGUAGGGGAACCUGCGGCUGGAUCACCUCC